rnacentral:tRNA from 1 species
AACGGCGCAGCACGACUGGUGGUGCGCGCCCCUCGUAAGGGCGAGGUUGGGCGUUCGAGUCGCCCCGCUG